AAGAAUCAAGUGACAAAAGGUGGUGAGCAUUCUGGCAAAAGUAAAGAGAUAGUACCUUAAGAUCAAGAAUCGGAGUACUCGAAAUUCGAUUCCCAUUACAGCUCAAGAUAGUCGGUAGAUAGUUCAUUUCGUUGAGGGCUA